UCUUUAUAGGAUCUUGUCCUGCUUCAAAUUGAACCCAUUUGAGUAUCUGAAGUUACCAUUUGACGCAUCUCCAGAAGAGGUGAAAAGACAAUAUCGUAAGUUAUCAUUGCUGGUUCACCCCGAUAAAUGUAAGCAUCCACAAUCGAAAGAGGCUUUUGCAGCAUUGGCAAAAGCCCAGCAGAUAUUACUUGAUGAGCAGGAAAGGAAUUAUAUUCUUAGCCAAGUCAAUGCAGCAAAAGG